rnacentral:lncRNA from 1 species
CGAGUCCGGGUUUGGGGCCCGGGAGGCGGGGCCAGUUAGGGCGAGGGUCCCUGGGAUCGUCGGGUCAGGCCUUGGGCUAACGUAGGCACUCUCGCAGUUCCUCCGCCUUCGGAAGGUCUUUUUAGCAGGGGCCUUACGGGUGCAUGCUUCGGUCCUGGAGGCCUUAUCCUAGCCUCCUCUCCAUCAGCGCCACCCGUCUGGGGCCCGAAAGGAGGGGCUUUCCCUCUGUCCCCCAGCCUUUGGACUGUCACCAAACAAGCCAUUUGUUCAUCAAAUACUUUUUAAGCGCCUACCAUGUGCCUGACAAGGGAGAUGUAAUGGUGAGAAAAACUAGGUGUGGUCCAGGCCCUUCAGAGGCUCAGGGGCUCGUGGAAGAAGUGGACAUUGAAGUACUUAUCACACAAAUGAGGAUAAAAGUACGAUAGCGAUAUCUACCACGAAGCUGUUGUUCCACACCAGAACCAAAUGAGCGCAAGAUCUGACAAAGAAAAAAAAAGAUUCAUCUUUUAUUCCUCCAAACACUUUCAUUUAAAUCAAGAGGAUGGGAUGUGGUUAUUGCUGUGUUUUUAGACAGAAUCAACGGUUUCUGGGUCUGAGAUGUUGCAUACACCCUCUCAGUCCCUGUAUCCUGAGAGGGAGUCACCUGAGAAUCCACAGCAAGUCCUAACCAGGGAUGGGUCUGGGUGAUUAAGGAAGAUUGGCUUCAGAACUGGGCCAGGGGCACUGCUUUGCUUUUGCUGUUUUGAUCAGCUCUCUGCCUGCAGGAGACAAGGAAAACCAAUGGGAACAGAAACUCCUGGAGGGCAGAGGCAGGCCUGCCAUCUUCAUCAUUGCAUUACCACCACCCAACACUAUCGGGGGACCUGCCCUGAUAAUCAGUCUACAGGUGUAUUCAGCAGCUCCAGAGAGACAGCGACCAGCGAGAAGGGGCCAUGAUGAUGGUGGUGGUUUUGUCAAAACGAAAAUGGGGAUAUGUAGGGAAAAGAAAGAGAGAUCAGACUGUUACUGUGUCUACAUAGAAAGGGAAGACAUAAGAGACUCCAUUUUGGAAAAGACCUGUACUUUAAAGAAUUGCUUUGCUGAGAUGUUGUUAAUCUGUAGCUUUGCCCCAGCCACUUUGCCCCAACCACUUUGACCCAAUCUGGAGCUCACAAAAACAUGUGUUGUAUGAAAUCAAGGUUUAAGGCAUGUAGGGCUGUGCAGGAUGUGUCUUGUUAACCAAAUGUUUGCAAGCAGUAUACUUGGUAAAAGUCAUCACCAUUCUCUCGUCUCAAUAAACCAGGGUCACAAUGCACUGUGGAAAGCCGCAGGGACCUCUGCCCUUGAAAGCUGGGUAUUGUCCAAAGUCUCUCCCCAUGUGAUAGUCUGAAAUAUGGCCUCGUGGGAUGAGAAAGACCUGACGGUCCCCCAGCGCGACACCCAUAAAAGGUCUGUGCUGAGGUGGAUUAGUCAAAGAGGAAAGACUCUUGCCGUUGAGAUAGAGGAAGGCCACUGUCUCCUGACUGCCCCUGGGAACUGAAUGUCUCGGUAUAAAACACGAUUGUACAUUUGUUCAAUUCUGAGAUGGGAGAAAAACCGCCCUAUGGUGGGAGGCGAGACAUGUUUACAGCAAUGCCGCCUUGUUAUUCUUUACUCCACUGAGAUGUUUGAGUGGAGAGAAACAUAAAUCUGGCUUACAUGCACGUCCAGUCAUAGUACCUUCCCUUGAACUCCAUUAUGACAUAGAUUCUAUUGCUCACAUGUUUGUUGCUGACUUUCUCCUUAUUAUCACCCUGCCCUCCUA